rnacentral:rRNA from 1 species
AGAGUUUGAUCCUGGCUCAGCUUGAACGCUAGCGGCGAGCUUAAUACAUGCAAGUCUAACAAGGGGGUAACCUUUUGUGGCGGACGGGCUAGUAAUACAUAACUAACAUGCCUCUAACACUGGAAUAGCUCUUGGAAACGGGAGGUAAUACCGGAUGAGGAGUGUACUCGGCAUCGAGGUGCACUUCAAAGCGGGGGAUCGCAAGACCUUGCGGUUAGAGAUUGGGUUAUGACUGAUCAGCUAGUUGGUGGGGUAAAGGCCCACCAAGGCUAUGACCUGUAGGCGGAUUGAGGGAUCGAUCGCCAGCACUGGGACUGAGACACUGCCCAGACUCCUACGGGAGGCAGCAGUAGGGAAUAUUGAGCAAUGGGCGAAAGCCUGACUCAGCUACGCCGCGUGGAGGAUGAAGGCCCUUGGGUCGUAAACUCCUGUCAGCUGGAGGGAAGGCACCCGGUUUAAUAAAUCGGAGUGUCGGACGAAAACAGCAAAGGAAGCACCGGCUAACUCCGUGCCAGCAGCCGCGGUAAUACGGAGGGUGCAAGCGUUAAGCGGAUUUAUUGGGCGUUAAGGGCGCGUAGGCGGAAUCUUAAGUCAGCGGUGAAAUACUUGGGCAAAACCCAAGUGCUGUCGUUGAAACUGGGAGUCUAGAGGAAGAGCGGGGAGAGGGGAACUUAGAGUGUAGCGGUGAAAUGCGUAGAUAUUCUAGGGAACACCAGAGGCGAAGGCGCCUCUCUAGCUUUUAACUGACGCUGAGGCGCGAAAGUGUGGGGAGCAAACAGGAUUAGAUACCCUGGUAGUCCACACUGUAAACGAUGUCGACUUGUCGUAGAGGGAAUUAACCCCCUCUGCGGCGUAGCUAACGCGAUAAGUCGACCGCCUGGGGAGUACGGCCGCAAGGUUGAAACCCAAAGGAAUUGACGGGGGCCCGCACAAGUAGUGGAGCAUGUGGUUUAAUUCGAUGCAACGCGAAAAACCUUACCUGGGCUUGACAUGGUAGCGACAGGAUCAGAGAUGGUCCCUCCUUCGGGCGCUACACACAGGUGCUGCAUGGCUGUCGUCAGCUCGUGCCGUGAGGUGUUGGGUUAAGUCCCGCAACGAGCGAAACCCUUGUCCUUAGUUACUAACGCGUAAAGGCGAGGACUUUAAGGAGACUGCCUAUGUUAAAUAGGAGGAAGGUGAGGAUGACGUCAAGUCAGCAUGGCCCUUACGCCCAGGGCUACACACGUGCUACAAUGGGGGGUACAACGGGAAGCAAGACCGCGAGGUGGAGCCAAUCCUACAAAACCUCCCUCAGUUCGGAUUGUAGUCUGCAAUUCGACUACAUGAAGCUGGAAUUACUAGUAAUGGCAGGUCAGCAAUACUGCCGUGAAUACGUUCCCGGGCCUUGUACACACCGCCCAUCAUGUCAUGGGAGUUGGAGGUACUCGAAGCCGCACACUCAACCGUAAGGGGAGCUGCGUCUAAAGUAAAGCCGAUAACUGGGAUAAAGUCGUAACAAGGUA